AAAACCAUUAUCCUCCCAGUGAGGCGGAGUGUGUUGAGUCUUCUCAGCCGAGCAACCAAAGUCAGCGAGAACACAUGCCCUUUAGGGAGUUGUAUAUACAAGUCUCCAACCUGCUGCAUGAACAAAGUUCCAAUCAUCUGAAUGAGAAAAGUUCAAAUCAGCCGUGUGGACAAGCCUCCAAUCAGGCGCGGUAUGGACGAAGCUCUAAAAAGAAACACAGACAACAUCCAGGUGAACAGUAUUCUCAGUCAGCGAGGCAUAAACAGCGGUACAGGCAGCAAGAGACCAACCACCCUACCCCUGUCACAACGCAACCAAAUGUGACAUUUGUUCAACCAUAUGAGACUCCGGAAAGUCACAUGGCAUUCGCAAUAUGCACUUGCUUUUUCUGCUGCUGUCCUCUUGGACUAGUUGCCAUAAUUCUGUCUAGUAUGUCAGAAGAAGCUCUGGCAGAAGGGGAUUACGAAAAUGCAGCCUUUACCGGUAAAGUUUCAAUAGGAUUCUCUUUUGCUGCUUUCACUUGCGGAAUGGUCAUUCUUUGUUUGGCUACUUUUAUACAAAUUGAAAUUUCUUUAAAAUGAUAACAAUUGGAAAAGAAAACGUCAAAAAUGUCAUUCCCUGUACAAAUAUUGUGGUAUUUCCAAAAGGACAACUUGUGCUCUGAUAUAUUUAAGAUUAUAAACAUCCUGUUAUAAACAUAUGUUGCUCCAGUAAUUUUCUUUCUAAAUAUUCCAUGAAAUAAAGUUCUAAUCUUAAAAUAAUUAUGGAAAUUUUAUGAUCAUUUAAAAAGUGAGGAGUGUAAGUGUCUUUUUGAUAGAAAGUUUUUAUUAUGAAAUUCUGUUAAUUUGUUAUAAAAUCUUUAUUUUUAUUGUUCUGUUAGGUAACUGUUGUACGUUUAUUUUGAGCAGAAAAUUAUGUUUUGACAUUUUUAUUUUUGCAAUUUGUUUUAAAUUUGUGGUUAUGUUAAUUAGUUUUGAAACUUCACUUGCUAUUCUAUAGCCCUCGACCGUUUUCGUAUUACAUAUAAACAAGACGAUUAUUACGUCAUCGAAACAUGCACAUGUGCAUGUGUGAGGCAGACGAUAUACAAACAACACUUGGCAGCAGUAUUUAUUUCCCGGUCAGAAAUGUGUUAUUGUCGAAAAUUACAAGCAGGCGAGGCUACGUCUCGACCUAAAAUUAUAACCUCGUCCACUUUAUUGACUAUAAAAUUGCCGCUAAACACCCAUAGAAGGAACAUUAUUUCUUAAAUAGAAAGCUGUGUAUAUAUCUUGUAUUUUGCUUCGGGUAUAAAGUUGUGCUAAUUGGCUUAAAAAGUUGCAUUCUGUGACUUUUCUUUGACUAGGAAAUUGUGUUCAACAUCUUUUAAUUUUGUCUUAUUCCAAUGCUAUCAAUAGGAAACUAUCUUCAUCAUUUUGAAUUAGCUUUUUGUUCUAACGUUUUGAAGACAAAAUUCUCUUCACAAGUUUGGAACGAUUCAUGUAAUGAUUUUGCUUUGAAUAAACUUGUUUUCAUAAA